UACGGAGGGGGCUAGCGUUGUUCGGAAUUACUGGGCGUAAAGCGCACGUAGGCGGCUUUGCAAGUUAGAGGUGAAAGCCCGGGGCUCAACUCCGGAAUUGCCUUUAAAACUGCAUCGCUAGAAUUGUGGAGAGGUAGGUGGAAUUCCGAGUGUAGAGGUGAAAUUCGUAGAUAUUCGGAAGAACACCAGUGGCGAAGGCGACUUACUGGACACAUAUUGACGCUGAGGUGCGAAAGCGUGGGGAGCAAACAGG
rnacentral:rRNA from 1 species